rnacentral:piRNA from 1 species
CGACAGUACAAAUAGAAAUGCCUCCUCUGC